CCAAGGAGUCUAACACGUGCGCGAGUCACAGGGUUGAACUCGCACGAAAGCACUAAACCCUAAGGCGCAAUGAAAGUGAAGGUCAGCCCACCCACGCUGACCGAGGCAGGAUACGUCCGAGUGAGCGAAGCUCUUCUUCCUUUCGCGGGAGAGGUUGGGGUCUACCUCUUCCUUUUUUCCGCGGAGGAGCUCGGCGUCGCACUGCCGGCCCAUCUCGACCGCCUCCUGUCGGCGAGGUGGAGCAAGAGCGCACACGUUGGGACCCGAAAGAUGGUGAACUAUGCUCGGGCAGGACGAAGCCAGAGGAAACUCUGGUGGAGGUCCGUAGCGAUUCUGACGUGCAAAUCGAUCGUCGGACCCGAGUAUAGGGGCGAAAGACUAAUCGAACCGUCUA
rnacentral:rRNA from 1 species